rnacentral:rRNA from 1 species
CCUACGGGGGACAGCAGUGAGGAAUAUUGGUCAAUGGGCGCGAGCCUGAACCAGCCAAGUCGCGUGAGGGAUGACGGUCCUACGGAUUGUAAACCUCUUUUGCCGGGGAGCAAGCGUGCGUUCGUGAACGCGCGUCGAGAGUACCCGGAGAAAAAGCAUCGGCUAACUCCGUGCCAGCAGCCGCGGUAAUACGGAGGAUGCGAGCGUUAUCCGGAUUUAUUGGGUUUAAAGGGUGCGUAGGCGGAUUUUUAAGUCAGCGGUAAAAUGUCCGGGCUCAACCCGGGCCGGCCGUUGAAACUGGGGAUCUUGAGUGGGCGAGAAGUAUGCGGAAUGCGUGGUGUAGCGGUGAAAUGCAUAGAUAUCUGGAGGAACAUCAGUGGCGAAGGCGACUAUCUGGCACAUAACUGACGCUGAGGAGCGAAAGCGUGGGUAGCAAACAGGAUUAGAUACCCGGGUAGUC